UUUGUUACUUCAAACCAAUCGGACUUCGGUCUGACAUCAAGUGAUAUUGAACAAUUUAGCUGAUCGCACGGUCUAAGAACCGGCGACAUAUCCUUCAAAUGUCUGCCUUAUCAACUUUCGAUGGUAGAUUAUGCGCCUACCAUGGUUGUAACGGGUAACGGAGAAUCAGGGUUUGAUUCCGGAGAGGGAGCCUGAGAAACGGCUACCACAUCCAAGGAAGGCAGCAGGCACGCAAAUUACCCACUCCCGGCACGGGGAGGUAGUGACGAAAAAUAACAAGCUGGUCUCAAUGAGUUCCAGCAUUGUAAUGGGAACAAUUUAAAUCUUUUAUCGAGGAUCUAUCGGAAGGCAAGUCUGGGGCCCGCAGCCGCGGUAAUUCCAGCUCCAAUAACGUUAAUUAAAAGUUGUGCCGGUAAAAAAGUUCGUAUUUGGAUCUAGAAUUAGGGUUCCGGCCUUUCACUUGGAACGUAUGGAAGGCCCAACUCCUUUUCUCUAGAAUUCGAUUGUUGCUCUUAAAUGAGUGACUUUAGUUGCUGGAACUUUUACCUUGAAAAAAUUGAAGUGCUCAAAGCAGGU
rnacentral:rRNA from 1 species